rnacentral:ncRNA from 1 species
AAAAUUCGAUUGGUAUAACGUAGUGAAGCUGAGAAAAACCCAUAGAACCUGAACCAGAUAAUGCUGGCGUAGGAAACCAGCGGGCUUUGCUG